rnacentral:snRNA from 1 species
GUUCAUUCCUGAACAUAUGCUAAAAUUGGAACAACACAGAGGAGAUUAGCAUAGGCUUGCGCAAGGAUGACACGCAAUUGCUACAUUAUA